rnacentral:lncRNA from 1 species
GAUACAGGGGUGUAUACAUGGGUGGGGCCCACAAGAUUAAAAUCAUCUUCCAUUUCUCUUCUCGGGUGUUUGCACAGCUCCCAUGCGUGUCAUCUCUUCCUCAUUUGCUCGUUCCCCUCUUCUGGAUUUUGCUCGUUCCCCUCUUCUGGAUCCCGGCUUGCCGCCGUAUCCGCUCCCAUCCGAGCUACCACCCCUACUCCACAUCCCC